rnacentral:rRNA from 1 species
UACGUAGGGUGCGAGCGUUGUCCGGAAUUAUUGGGCGUAAAGGGCUCGUAGGCGGUUUGUCGCGUCGGGCGUGAAAUCCACUGGCUUAACUGGUGGCUUGCUUUCGAUACGGGCAGACUGGAGGUAUGCAGGGGAGAACGGAAUUCCUGGUGUAGCGGUGAAAUGCGCAGAUAUCAGGAAGAACACCCGUGGCGAAGGCGGCUCUCUGGUACGUGACUGACGCUGAGACGCGAAAGCGUGGGGAGCAAACAGG